AUGAACGCUGGCGGCGUGCCUAAUCCAUGCCAGUCGAGCGAACGGACGAGAAGCUUGCUUCUCUGAUGUUAGCGGCGGACGGGUGAGUAACACGUGGAUAACCUACCUAUAAGACUGGGAUAACUUCGGGAAACCGGAGCUAAUACCGGAUGAUAUUUUGAACCGCCUGGUUCAAAAGUGAAAGACGGUCUUGCUGUCACUUAUAGAUGGAUCCGCGCUGCAUUAGCUAGUUGGUAAGGUAACGGCUUACCAAGGCAACGAUGCAUAGCCGACCUGAGAGGGUGAUCGGCCACACUGGAACUGAGACACGGUCCAGACUCCUACGGGAGGCAGCAGUAGGGAAUCUUCCGCAAUGGGCGAAAGCCUGACGGAGCAACGCCGCGUGAGUGAUGAAGGUCUUCGGAUCGUAAAACUCUGUUAUUAGGGAAGAACAUAUGUGUAAGUAACUGUGCACAUCUUGACGGUACCUAAUCAGAAAGCCACGGCUAACUACGUG
rnacentral:rRNA from 1 species